rnacentral:rRNA from 1 species
CCUACGGGUGGCUGCAGUGGGGAAUAUUGGACAAUGGGCGAAAGCCUGAUCCAGCCAUGUCGCGUGAGUGACGAAGGCCUUAGGGUUGUAAAGCUCUUUUGGCGGGGACGAUAAUGACGGUACCCGCAGAAUAAGCCCCGGCUAACUUCGUGCCAGCAGCCGCGGUAAUACGAAGGGGGCUAGCGUUGUUCGGAAUCACUGGGCGUAAAGCGCACGUAGGCGGAUUUGUUAGUCAGGGGUGAAAUCCCGGGGCUCAACCUCGGAACUGCCUUUGAUACUGCAAGUCUUGAGUCCGGAAGAGGUGAGUGGAAUUCCUAGUGUAGAGGUGAAAUUCGUAGAUAUUAGGAAGAACACCAGUGGCGAAGGCGGCUCACUGGUCCGGUACUGACGCUGAGGUGCGAAAGCGUGGGGAGCAAACAGGAUUAGAUACCCCGGUAGUC